rnacentral:rRNA from 1 species
AGAGUUUGAUCCUGGCUCAGGAUGAACGCUAGCGGCAGGCCUAAUACAUGCAAGUCGAACGGUAAGUAUGGUAGCAAUAUCAUACGAGAGUGACGUACGGGUGCGUAACACGUAUGCAACCUACCCUUUACAGAUGGAUAGCUCGGGGAAACUCGAAUUAACCCGUCAUAAUAUGAUUGAAUGGCAUCAUUUGAUUAUUAAAACUGAGGUGGUAAAGGAUGGGCAUGCGUCUGAUUAGCUAGUUGGUAGUGUAAUGGACUACCAAGGCGAUGAUCAGUAGGGGAACUGAGAGGUUGAUCCCCCACACUGGCACUGAGAUACGGGCCAGACUCCUACGGGAGGCAGCAGUAGGGAAUAUUGGUCAAUGGGUGGAAGCCUGAACCAGCCAUGCCGCGUGCAGGAAGAAGGCCUUCUGGGUUGUAAACUGCUUUUGCCAGGGGAUAAAAGAGCUAUGCGUAGCGAAUUGAAGAUACCUGGUGAAUAAGCCACGGCUAACUACGUGCCAGCAGCCGCGGUAAUACGUAGGUGGCAAGCGUUGUCCGGAUUUAUUGGGUUUAAAGGGUGCGUAGGCGGCCUAUUAAGUCAGUGGUGAAAUAUUUCAGCUUAACUGGAAUUGUGCCAUUGAUACUGAUGGGCUUGAGUACAGAUGAGGUAGGCGGAAUUGACGGUGUAGCGGUGAAAUGCUUAGAUAUCGUCAAGAACACCUAUAGCGAAGGCAGCUUACUAGGCUGUAACUGACGCUGAGGCACGAAAGUGUGGGGAUCAAACAGGAUUAGAUACCCUGGUAGUCCACACUGUAAACGUUGAUUACUCGCUGUGUGCGAUAUACAGUACGCGGCCAAGCGAAAGCGCUAAGUAAUCCACCUGGGGAGUACGCCGGCAACGGUGAAACUCAAAGGAAUUGACGG